UACGAAGGGGGCUAGCGUUGCUCGGAAUCACUGGGCGUAAAGGGUGCGUAGGCGGGUCUUUUAAGUCAGGGGUGAAAUCCUGGAGCUCAACUCCAGAACUGCCUUUGAUACUGAGGAUCUUGAGUUCGGGAGAGGUGAGUGGAACUGCGAGUGUAGAGGUGAAAAUUUCGUAGAUAUUCGCAAGAACACCAGUGGCGAAGGCGGCUCACUGGCCCCGAUACUGACGCUGAGGCACGAAAAGCGUGGGGGAGCAAAACAGG
rnacentral:rRNA from 1 species